rnacentral:pre_miRNA from 1 species
CAUCCUUGCCCUCAAGCAGCUUACAUUUUAGUUGGAAAUUUUUAGUACUUACUAAAAUGUAAGCUGCUUGAGGGCAUAUAUA